CCUACGGGAGGCUGCAGUGGGGAAUAUUGCACAAUGGGCGCAAGCCUGAUGCAGCCAUGCCGCGUGUGUGAAGAAGGCCUUCGGGUCGUAAAGCACUUUCAGCGGGGAGGAAGGCGGUGAGGUUAAUAACCUCAUCGAUUGACGUUACCCGCAGAAGAAGCACCGGCUAACUCCGUGCCAGCAGCCGCGGUAAUACGGAGGGUGCAAGCGUUAAUCGGAAUUACUGGGCGUAAAGCGCACGCAGGCGGUCUGUCAAGUCGGAUGUGAAAUCCCCGGGCUCAACCUGGGAACUGCAUUCGAAACUGGCAGGCUAAAGUCUUGUAGAGGGGGGUAGAAUUCCAGGUGUAGCGGUGAAAUGCGUAGAGAUCUGGAGGAAUACCGGUGGCGAAGGCGGCCCCCUGGACAAAGACUGACGCUCAGGUGCGAAAGCGUGGGGAGCAAACAGGAUUAGAUACCCGGGUAGUC
rnacentral:rRNA from 1 species